rnacentral:lncRNA from 1 species
ACAUAGCAGGUGUUCAAUAAAUGGCAGUGAUUAUUAUUUGCUGAUUUUUUUUCCCCCAAUCCGUUGCACAAUAAAGUGACAAAUGGAAGACCCUAGAAAUGUUUACGGGCUUCAGAUCUGGGAUAUGAAGGUAGGAUGUAGAUUUAAACUGUCCCUCUUAUAUCUGGGUUUUAGUGAUUAAUAGGGCUGUUAAGACUAAGACCAAUAAGGUGGCAAGCAGGAUACCAGAGAGGAAGUCCCAGGGGCCAGGCUGAGGAAUUACCUAGAAGGCACCAGUCCAAGGAAGGAAAAGGCCAACAUGCUAUGUAGACUUCACAAAACAAGGAGUGUUGCCUGUCUUAUUCCCCACUCUAUCCCUCGUACUAAAAGCCAAGUUUGGCCAUGAUAAGCACUCAGGAAAUAGGUGCUGAGAAAAAGCAGUAGCAUUAAGAAGGGCUGAGAUUUGUGGUGGCA